rnacentral:rRNA from 1 species
UACGUAGGGUGCAAGCGUUAAUCGGAAUUACUGGGCGUAAAGCGUGCGCAGGCGGUUUUGUAAGUCUGUCGUGAAAUCCCCGGGCUUAACCUGGGAAUUGCGAUGGAGACUGCAAGGCUGGAGUCUGGCAGAGGGGGGUAGAAUUCCACGUGUAGCAGUGAAAUGCGUAGAGAUGUGGAGGAACACUGAUGGCGAAGGCAGCCCCCUGGGUCAAGACUGACGCUCAUGCACGAAAGCGUGGGGAGCAAACAGG